AUUAAGUUUGAUAAACAUUGAAAAUGGGCUGAAAAGCCCGAGUAAGAAAAUUAAUUUUCAUUUUAGAAGUUAUAGGACAGUAAUUUUUCCAAACCAUGAGGGGUGUGUAUGUGUGUGUGUGUGAAUGUGUUUGUGUUAAUGAGCUUGUUAACAAUAAGUUGUACAAAAUUAUUAGUUAGCAGUAACCAGUUUUCAAGGAAUAUUGGCCUUCCUGGGCUUCCCAAGAAAACCUUGGACACUUUUGGUAGAAAAGUUGGGAUUCACUCUCCAUAAAUCUGGCAUUGAAAAAAUGAUUCAACAGUGGUCAUGAUUCUAGUUUUGACCAAGCUACAUAUAACAGUGUAGGCAUCUGAUGUAGGAUCUAUGUAUUAGGUUAGAAAAUUUCCCUUACAACUGCCAUUGCUCAGCACAAAUUAUAGAGAGGUUAAACAAGGAAUAAAUGGCAAAAUGAUGAAUAAGAAUAUGACCUGAUUUGCAUGCUGGCAAAUGAGAAUUCAGCUUUUACUUCAAC
rnacentral:lncRNA from 1 species